rnacentral:rRNA from 1 species
UGGGGAAUAUUGGACAAUGGGCGCAAGCCUGAUCCAGCCAUGUCGCGUGAGUGAUGAAGGCCUUAGGGUUGUAAAGCUCUUUUAGCGGGGAAGAUAAUGACGGUACCCGCAGAAAAAGCCCCGGCUAACUUCGUGCCAGCAGCCGCGGUAAUACGAAGGGGGCUAGCGUUGCUCGGAAUUACUGGGCGUAAAGCGCACGUAGGCGGACUCUUAAGUCGGUGGUGAAAUCCUGGAGCUCAACUCCAGAACUGCCUUCGAUACUGGGAGUCUUGAGUUCGGGAGAGGUGAGUGGAACUGCGAGUGUAGAGGUGAAAUUCGUAGAUAUUCGCAAGAACACCAGUGGCGAAGGCGGCUCACUGGCCCGAUACUGACGCUGAGGUGCGAAAGCGUGGGGAGCAAACA